UUUAGUCCAAUAGUCCACCCUUGAUUCUCGAUAAAAAAUAACGUAUCAUUCACAUAUAAAAACACCUAACACUUUACGUGGGUGGUUAGCCAUUUUAAUUAAGGUUAAUUAAUUAGAACAUUAAGGGACGCUAAAUGUAGUUGACCGGAACGACCUGUAUUUCUUUAUUAACCCACUAAUCAAGUUUGAUUUUCCGUUUAUUUUAUUAUUUCUCAAAGUCAUUACGAGUAGUACCCCUAUCAUAUUACCAAAAGCUCUAAAACACGAUAUGCUUAUGCAUAAAUAACAACAUUUUCAACAACAUUGGUGGAAUAUGAAUGCUAAACUAUUAAAUUCAAAUAGUUUGGUACAUAUAAUUAACGAAGAAGAAUCGCUGUUGAACGGGAGUUAGGAAGCACGAUAUCAGGAGUGUUAGGUAGCCUCCCCCUACAAAAGAAAAAUGUUUACUUCAAACAAAACAAUAUAAUUCCCCGGACAAAGGUAAUAAUACUAUUAUAUUACUUUUGCGCUUGAUUAUUCGGGCUAUCUUCAUUUUGUCAUCAGUAUUAAACUAAUACAAUUUUUCUAUUAAAUAUGUAAAAAGGAACCAAAUAUGUGAAUCUUCUUUUUUUUUCUUUUUUUUUUGUCACAAAUAUGUGAAUAUUCUUAUUAGUACAAUUUUCUUGUAAUUUUGUUGUAUUAUUAAUUUGCUAAUUUUUUCAGACUUGUUUUAUAUUAAUUCCAAUAUUACUAUAUGGUAUAUAUAUACUAUAAACUAGUAGAGAAUCACAACCACAUCUAUAAAAGAUAUUAUCCAGAUAAUCAGGUAUGUUGAAUUUCUAUAAUAUUAUUUGAGAAGUAAGUUUCUUUCGUGUCAUAUUCACGCUCGCAUUAAUUCUCACGAUGGUUGAUUACAAAUGUACUUUUAAUAAAUUUAAAAUAUUACCAUUAAAUUACCAUUAUUAAAUUUAUUUUCUUUUUUUAUUUGGUAUUUUCUGUUAAUUAGAUUUUAAUUUAAUUACUUUUUUAUUUUUUUCCAAU
rnacentral:lncRNA from 1 species